rnacentral:lncRNA from 1 species
GGCGGGGCUGCCAGAGUGCCUGCCCGGCUCCCGUGCAGUGGGUUCCGGAGACUGGAGCUGGGAUUCGGGUUGGUGGUGGCCGAACGGAGGGUGCGUUCGUGCGGAUCCACAUCGCCGCACCAGGUCCCGCCUGUGGAAGACGUGUCGUGCUCCUCCCUAGCGCGACGAGAUGGUGGCUUCUGCGGGACGGAGCGCCCCAGGGCGCCCCAGAAGACGUUCAGAGAUAGAGUGGUCCAGGCUUCGGGAGGAUGUGGGACAGUGAUACAGCUCCGCGUCGGACUCAGAUUGUGCCAGGGAUGGGAACCUUGGGGGUGACCAGGACUCCAGGCACGGCGCAUCAAGAAGUCUUUCCGAGCCUGGGGAUCUUGAGCUGCUAUGGCGCAGAGACCGUGCCCUGCCCAGCGCGUCCCUAGACCGCUCCAGCCUGCCCUCCCGGACCGCACUGACCUGAUCACUUAACAGGCAGGUCUCACAAACCCUUCUGUUAACCCCCGGACCCUAGAAAACCUGAUGCACACAGUAGGUAUCAAAUAAAUUAAAUCCGUGUUGCAUUAACGAC